rnacentral:rRNA from 1 species
GAAUAGCCCCCGGAACUGAAGGUACCGUCAGAGGAAGCACCGGCUAACUCCGUGCCAGCAGCCGCGGUAAUACGGAGGGUGCAAGCGUUGUUCGGAUUCACUGGGUAUAAAGGGUGCGUAGGCGGCCCUGUAAGUCAGAGGUGAAAGCUGCCGGCUCAACUGGCAAAAUGCCUUUGAAACAGUGGGGCUUGAGUCCGGGAGAGGAAGGCGGAAUUCCCGGUGUAGCGGUGAAAUGCGUAAAUAUCUGGAGGAACACCCGUGGCGAAGGCGGCCUUCUGGUCCGGUACUGACGCUGAGGCACGAAAGCCAGGGGAGCAAACGGGAUUAGAUACCCCGGUAGUCCUGGCCGUAAACGAUGGGCACUAGGUGUUGGGGAGUCUACCCCCUCAGUGCCGGAGCUAACGCAUUAAGU